CGGUAUUGGCUUAUUGGCUGGGAUUGG
rnacentral:sRNA from 1 species